AAGUGUUACAGCUCUUUUAGAAUUUGUGUAGCAGGCUUUCCAGUUUUUGCCGAAAAGCUCCU
ensembl:snRNA U7 U7 small nuclear RNA